CCAAUCAGGAGGUUGCAGAAGAGCCGAGCGUCUGCUGUGCCGCACCACACCACGCAGUCAGGAGGAUCCCGCCGCGGUCCGGAAGGGAAGGCACACAUGACCUGGAGGCUGGAGCUGGCGAGUGCGUGCAGUCGUCAGUGGGCAGCGGGCGGGUCGCGGCUCCCGGCUCCCAAUCAGCAGCAGACAUCACAUUUCCCUCCCGGGCGGCCGAUGCAGUCUACUGAGUCUGAGUGGCUGACUGCAGCAGUUUUUGUGCAGCUGAAGGCAUGUGACUAAUCAAACAGGACAGCUGUGAGGAACUUCUUUAAGAAGGCAAGAUGGGAGUCUCAUUUACCUGAGAGUCUAGGAAGGGGAGGAGGAGUCUAAGAGCAAGGGUUCCCAACCACGGUCCUCAAGGCACACUAACAGUCCAGAUUUUAAGGAUUUCCAUACUGAGCACCUCGGACUGAGGCAUAUCCAGACGAGGCUGUCUCACUACGGGUCUCUUCUUCUACCGUCACUGUGUUAUGCUGAAGCUCAUUG